UACGUAGGGGGCCAGCGUUGUCCGGACUUACUGGGCGUAAAGCGCGCGCAGGUGGUGGCGGAUGUGCCGUGUGAAAGCUCCGUCAGAUGCGGAGAGGCCACGGUAGACACCGUCACUCGAGGCUCGGAGAGGUCGAUGGAAUUCCGGGUGGAGCGGUGAAAUGCGUAGAGAUCCGGAGGAACACCAGAGGCGAAGGCGGUCGACUGGCCGAGACCUGACACUGAGGCGCGACGGCGUGGGGAGCGAACCGG
rnacentral:rRNA from 1 species